rnacentral:lncRNA from 1 species
CUUUGUUGUUUGGCCUGACUGUCUGUCUCAGUGUGUGUCUCUUUGUUUGUUUUGGUUUUUCACCAUCUGACUGCCAUGGGACAACAACUAAAGACCCCUUUAAGUUUGACUCUAGACCACUGGGGAGACGUUUGGGACCGGGCCAACAACCAGUCCCUGGACAUAAAGAAGGAAAAAAUGGCAAACUUUCUGCAGUUCCAAAUGGCCAACAUUUAAUGUUGGUUGGCCUCGGGACGGUUCUUUUAAUCUUGAGAUUAUUUUACAGGUAGAAGAAAAAGUGUUAGAUUCUGGACCCCCAUGGACACCCUGGCCAGGCAGGACCGGGCUCAGACUGUGGACAGGCUACAGGACACUGGAGAAUUGAUUGCACCACCUUUGCCUAGACAAAAUAAGGUCAGUCUUUUCCAUGUCCCUCUUCCACAGAGAGAAAAAACUCUCACUUUAUGGACCUGGCAAAGAUUUACUUCUGCCCCCAACACUAUUGAGACUUGGGUAUGGCUAACUUUACAUGGACUGGACCCUGUCAUUUUUAAUAGAUUCAAAAGUUACACAGAAUUUAUCCUUCUCAGAUCUCUGAUAGAAUUGAU